CAAAAGCUCAAAUUUGAAAUCUGGAGCCUUCGGCUUCCGAGUUGUAAUUUGAAGAGGGUGUUUCGGGAGUAGCCUUGGCCCAAGUUCCUUGGAACAGGACGUCAUGGAGGGUGAGAAUCCCGUACAUGGCUGAAGGCUUUCUCUCAUGUGAAACCCCUUCGAAGAGUCGAGUUGUUUGGGAAUGCAGCUCAAAAUGGGUGGUAAAUUUCAUCUAAAGCUAAAUAUUGGCGGGAGACCGAUAGCGCACAAGUAGAGCGAUCGAAAGAUGAAAAGCACUUUGAAAAGAGAGUUAAACAGUACGUGAAAUUGUUGAAAGGGAAGCGCUUGCAAUCAGACUCGCUUUCGGUUGAUCAGCGACGCCUUCUGGCGCGUGCACUCCGCCGUUUGCGGGCCAGCAUCAGUUGGAGCGGUGGGACAAAGACGGCAGGAAUGUGGCUCCCCUCGGGGAGUGUUAUAGCCUGUCGUGCCAUGCCAUCAGCCCCGACUGAGGUCCGCGGUUCGCCUAGGAUGCUGGCUUAAUGGUUGU
rnacentral:rRNA from 1 species